CCAAAAGAUGGUUGUAUUCUCCAAGCAGAUAAGCGCUAACCUGCAUAAUGACAUCAGCAUACAGUUGUCUAUAUUUGUGUAGGAAAUAUAAAAUAUAAUCUACAUACCUUCACCAUUGUCUCAUGUAUUGCAGGCUUAUCAAGAUAUUCUCUAGCUUUGAGAGCUGCAUAAGGCUAAUGAUUAAAAAAAGAAAAAAUGGAGAUUCUAAAGAUCAUCAUCCAAAUGCACCAAAAUUUAGAGUAAGAUCGAACCACUAUUAAUGAAGGUAUUCUACUGGGCUAGGAUGCUUGUUGUUUGGAUAUGGAGCCAUGGAAGAACUUGGACCCUUCCGUGUUAACAGUGAUGGAAAAACACUCUACCCCAACCACUAUGCAUGGAACAAUGGUGCAUGCCUAACCCUAUAAAACCUUUGCUUUUGAGGUACUAACUGUUUUCUCCUGGAAUUUUUUUUGCCUGAGAUUUUUUGCUGCCAGCUAUCCCUUCGGGACCACUCUUAUGUAUUAUGUUAAAAGCACCAAUUCAGAAAUUUGCUGAUUAUGUA